CAAUAGCGUAUAUUAAAGUUGUUGCAGUUAAAAAGCUCGUAGUUGGAUUUCUGGUGGGAGCGAUCGGUCUGGCGCUUAGCGCGAGUACUUGCAUCGUCUCCGGCCAUCCUUGGGGAGAGUCUGUCUGGCAUUAGGUUGUCGGGCAGAGGAUCCUCAUCGUUUACUGUGAAAAACUUAGAGUGUUCAAAGCAGGCUUAUGCCGUUGAAUAUAUUAGCAUGGAAUAAUAAGAUAGGACUUUGGUACUAUUUUGUUGGUUUGCGCACCAAAGUAAUGAUUAAUAGGGACAGUUGGGGGUAUUCGUAUUCCGUUGUCAGAGGUGAAAUUCUUGGAUUUACGGAAGACGAACUACUGCGAAAGCAUUUACCAAGGAUGUUUUCAUUAA
rnacentral:rRNA from 1 species